UCCAACGUUCAUACCUCGUUGAAAAAACCAGUACUCGUCCGAUCACUGAAGUCAAGCAACGUUGGGCACGGUUAGUACUUGGAUGGGUGACCACCUGGGAAUACCGUGUAAUGUUGGUA